ACUCCUACGGGAGGCAGCAGUUUCGAAUCAUUCACAAUGGGCGAAAGCCUGAUGGUGCGACGCCGCGUGAGGGAUGAAGGUCUUCGGAUUGUAAACCUCUGUCACUGGGGAGAAAACGCUUUGAGCUAACAGUUCAAUGCCUGAUUUAACCCGGAGAGGAAGCAGUGGCUAACUCUGUGCCAGCAGCCGCGGUAAUACAGAGACUGCAAGCGUUAUUCGGAUUCACUGGGCGUAAAGGGUGCGCAGGCGGCCGUGUGUGUCAGGUGUGAAAUCCCGGGGCUUAACCCCGGAACUGCGCCUGAAACUACAUGGCUAGAGUAUUGGAGAGGGUAGCGGAAUUCACGGUGUAGCAGUGAAAUGCGUAGAUAUCGUGAGGAACACCAGAGGCGAAGGCGGCUACCUGGACAAUUACUGACGCUCAGGCACGAAAGCGUGGGGAGCAAAAGGGAUUAGAUACCCCUGUAGUCCACGCCCUAAACGGUGCACACUAGGUCUUGGCGGAUUCGACCCCACCAGGGCCCAAGCUAACGCGUUAAGUGUGCCGCCUGAGGACUACGGCCGCAAGGCUAAAACUCAAAGGAAUUGACGG
rnacentral:rRNA from 1 species